rnacentral:rRNA from 1 species
GAUGAACGCUGGCGGCGUGCCUAAUACAUGCAAGUCGAGCGAACUGAUUAGAAGCUUGCUUCUAUGACGUUAGCGGCGGACGGGUGAGUAACACGUGAGCAACCUGCCUGUAAGACUGGGAUAACUUCGGGAAACCGAAGCUAAUACCGGAUAGAAUCUUCUCCUUCAUGGGAGAUGAUUGAAAGAUGGUUUCGGCUAUCACUUACAGAUGGGCCCGCGGUGCAUUAGCUAGUUGGUGAGGUAACGGCUCACCAAGGCAACGAUGCAUAGCCGACCUGAGAGGGUGAUCGGCCACACUGGGACUGAGACACGGCCCAGACUCCUACGGGAGGCAGCAGUAGGGAAUCUUCCGCAAUGGACGAAAGUCUGACGGAGCAACGCCGCGUGAGUGAUGAAGGCUUUCGGGUCGUAAAACUCUGUUGUUAGGGAAGAACAAGUACGAGAGUAACUGCUCGUACCUUGGCGGUACCUAACCAGAAAGCCACGGCUAACUACGUGCCAGCCGCCGCGGUAAAAC